rnacentral:lncRNA from 10 species
GGGAGUCACGCCAGCUCCAACCAGGUCUAGAACCCAAACCUUCAACCCCUGAGCUUUCCUGCCUUCGAGUCCUCGGAGCUCUCCUGGAGGCUGAGCAGGCAACAGAGCCUGCUCCUCAGCUGGAUGUGGCCCGUGGGAGGUGAGGGGGCGCAGAGGCCGGGCGCCCUGGAAAGGAGGAAGAAUGAGGGACCCCCAGCUCCGUGGCUGCUUCAUUUCCUGCUCUCUUCCUGCUCCCACCCCUCCCAACGGUGGGCGUACCCCAAGGCUCCGUCCUCUCUUCCCUCUUCUUUCUCACCCACUCUCUUCGUGACCUCAUCCACGCCCACGGCCUCAGCUUUUGCUUCAUCCCCAUUCCCAGCACUGUCUCUGGGGCCCUGACCUCCCUCCCAAGCUCCGCAGCUGUGUACUUAGUGAAGCCUCUCCACCAGGUGGAGGAAACAUCACCUCCCUGGGGUCACCCCACAGCUGCUAAGGCCCCAUCACUCUCUCAAGCUCCACAUCGGUUCCCCAAAUCCUCCCACUGCUCUUCCCCCACACCUAAUUACUGUCCAUAUCCUUCAGACCCUUUUCUCUUCCCAGCCUCUCACACCCUGUUCUCAGACUCCUGAGCCACCUCCCUAAGUCAGACACUCAAGCCGAUCAGCCUCCGCCUCACCUGGCUCCUGCCCAGUCGCUUGCCUCCCCCAGUCUUUUCCAUCCAGUGCCCUCCCUCCUCGUGGUUUUCUUUUCUCUUUUCUUUCUUUUCUUUUUUUUUUUUUUUUUUUUUUUGAGACAGAGUCUUGCUCUGUCACUCAGGCUGGAGUGCAGUGGCAGGAUCUCAGCUCACUGCAACCUCCAUCUCCCAGGCUCAAGACAUUCUCGUGCCUUGAGCCUGAGUAGCUGGGAUUACAGGCGCCUGCCAUCAUGCCUGGCUAAUUUUUGUGUUUUUAGUAAAUACAGAGUUUCGCCAUCUUGGCCAGGCUGGUCUAGAGCCCAAAUGAUCCGCCCAUCUUGGGCCUCCCAAAGUGUUGGGAUUACAGGCAUGAACCACCUCGCCCGGCCUCCCUGUGGUUUUCUGAGACACAAGAUCCAAUUGCUCUGCUGGCUUCUCAGCCCCCGGGCCUUCGAUGGCUCCCCAUGCCUGCAGAAGGAGCAGGUUAGCCUGAGAUGGAGUCUGCCCCAGGAUGACUUUUGACUUCCUCGUCUUGCCCAGUGCCCUGCCUUCAGCUAAAAACUGAGUUUCUCCCUAUGGGUUUCCACCUUUCAAAGCCCAUCUUCACUGUCACUUUGUCCAGGGAGCCAUCCCUGAUUCUCCCAGGUGAGUCUGAAUGCUCCUCUUCUGUAGCCCCAUGGCACUUCUCAGCAUUUCGGUGAUGGAGUUGUCUACGCUGAUAGCAUUUAUACAGCUCUUCAAUCCUGCUUUCUGUCCACCUCCUCCACCCCUGCAAUGGACUGGGAGCUCUUUCUGGGCAAGGAUCGCCCGUUUACUAUCCAUCUUUAUCUUCCUCCUCUCAGGUUUUUUAUUGAUCCAUUCAGCAAACAUUAAUGACGUAGCUGCUAUGUGCUAGGCACUGCAUAUACAGAAUCCUGCUCCUUCUCUGGGUAAUUGUCAUACAGUGCGACAAGUGCAUUAACAGGUGGAUUCAGGGAAACAUGGCCCUGGGCAAGGAUUUCUCCAGGCUCCCG